rnacentral:tRNA from 1 species
GGUGUUGUGGCUCAAGUGGUAGAGCGCUUGCCUUGCAUGCAUGAGGUCUUGGGUUCGAUUCCUCAGCACCA